AUUGAACGCUGGCGGCAGGCCUAACACAUGCAAGUCGAACGAGUGGCGGACGGGUGAGUAAUGUCUGGGAAACUGCCUGAUGGAGGGGAAUAACUACUGGAAACGGUAGCUAAUACCGCAUACCAUCGGAUGUGCCCAGAUGGGAUUAGCUUGUAGGUGAGGUAACGGAUCACCUAGGCGACGAUCCCUAGCUGGUCUGAGAGGGUGACCAGCCGCAGUGGAACUGAGACACGGUCCAGACGCCUACGUGAGGCAGCAGUGGGGAAUAUGUCACAAUGGGCGUAAGUCUGAUGCAGACAUGCCGCGGGUAUGAAGAAGGCCUUCGGGUUGUAAAGUACUUUCAGCGGGGAGGCGGUACCCGCAGAAGAAGCACCGGCUAACUCCGUGCCAGCAGCCGCGGUAAUUC
rnacentral:rRNA from 1 species